rnacentral:rRNA from 1 species
CAAUCCGAAGACGUGAUGCGGACCGAAUUAAGAGUAGGGAAGUGUGUGAGCCAUGCGUCAAGAAAAGCCGCUAUUGUUUUACUUAAGCCCGUACCGUAAACCGACACAGGUGGAUGAGGAGAGAAUCCUAAGGUCGACGGGAGAAGCAUUGUUAAGGAACUCGGCAAAAUGACUCCGUAACUUCGGGAGAAGGAGUGCCAGCGAGAGCUGGCCGCAGAGAAUUGGCCCAAGCAACUGUUUAGCAAAAACACAGGUCUAUGCAAAACCGUAAGG